rnacentral:lncRNA from 1 species
CCAGAUUUACAUUUUCCUUCUCUUAGGGCUAAUGUAUUUGGAAAAGAAAAAUGAAAUAAGUAAAGCAUUCAAAAAAUCUGGUAAAUAAUGAACCCAACAAAAGAUUUCAUGAAAUUAUAUGGAUCUAUUUUUCUGACAUUUGAUGCAGUCUACACUGUUUCUUUGCCCUAAACUCAUUAAAACAAUGAUCUCUCUCUCUCUCUCUCUCUCUCUCUAUAUAUAUAUAUAGGAGAAAAUAAGAAAAAUGAAACCGACAAAAAUUCCAUGAAAUUAUAUGGAACUAUUUUUCUGACAGUUGAUGAUCUACACUAUGUUUUGUUUUUUGUUUUCUGUUUUUGCCCUAAAUUCAUAACAAAAAUGAACUAAAGAGGAAGAGAAAGAGAAAGAAACCUUAAAUGUAUUAAUUUCCACAAUAUAUAUUAACAUGGAUUUUCUACUAAUAUAACUUCUACAUUUUAGCUGUCUACGGUUUUUCUUUUCUUCAAGUGUCACCACAUUCAUGCCAGCAAACAAGCAUGGUGACGCACCGCCGGAGAAUGUAGAACUUUGCUCUUUGCUCCUUCACCAGCCGGCUGCACCGCCGUCCGAAUGCCUUACACCGAUCCCCCACGUGUCGUCCGCAGAAGCUUCUGUUAGUGUUACUCUCCUCCUUCAUUUCACUGUGAAUAUAUAUAUUUAAUUUAGACGAAAAGAGAGAGAGGGAGAGAGAUUGGUUUUUUUUUUUCUUGGUAAUAUAGUUUGGUUGAUGGUGAAGAAGGAGGACAUUUUUGGGGGUUUAUAUAAUUUAUAAUAAUGUUCAAGGACAUAGAUUAAUUGGACAUCUAGAAAGACUAUAACACCCUAGUAUAUCUUAUUGUUUUAUAUCAAUACUUUAGGGAUUAAAAG